AUACAAUUAUCCCGACUUAUAACGAUGUGGGUGACGGUAGCCAUUGUGGUGGUACUGAUCGCUCUGAUUUGGAGAUAUACGGGACGACCCAAAGGAUUGCCUCCAGGGCCGACAUGUUACCCCAUCAUUGGGAAUGUGGGACUCUUCAAACCUUCGGAAGCUAUACAAGCUCACAGAAAACUCAGAAAGAAAUAUGGUGAUAUCUAUACGAUAAUGACCUUCCACAAACCGAUGAUUGCAGUUCAUGGUUAUGACAAUAUUCGAGAAUUACUUGUCAAACAUGGAGACUUAUUUUCAGACCGACCUCUAACGAUAAUGAAUGGAGUUUUCAACAAAGGGAAAGGUUUGAUAUGGUCAUCUGGACCACUAUGGAAAGAGCAGAGAACAUUUGCUCUGACAACAAUGAGAAAAUUUGGAUUCGGAAAACGCUGUCUGCAAAACCAAAUCAUGGAGGAGGUUGAUUGUCUAAUGGAAGAACUAGAAAAAUACGGAAACAAACCAUUUGAUAUUCAAAACACUCUUAAUAUUUCUGUCUCUAAUGUUAUUUGUUCCAUGUUGUUUGGCAAUAGGUUUGAUUAUGAAGAUGCCCGAUUCAAACAUUUAAUCGUUUUGUUGAACAAAUUGUUUGCCACUUCUAGUCCAUCUUCACCUGCGGUAAUUUUUCCUAUUCUUCGUCAUUUACCGAUGUCAAGAGUUGACACGAUGCAAAACGUAUUUGCUGAGAUCGAUGGGUUCGCAAAUGAAGUAAUCGAAGAGCACAGAAAAAAUUUUGACGGAAACAACGUGAAUGAUUUCAUAGAUGCCUUCUUAUUGGAACAAAAAGUGGCAUGAGAAAAUACUUCAUUUACAGAUGAGCAGCUCAAAAUCAGCGUAAGAGAAUUCUUUGGGGCGGGAACUGAAACCACAUCUACAACACUAAGAUGGGCACUCCUCUUCUUAAUUCAUUUUCCGGAUUGGCAGAAGAAACUUCGAGAUGAUAUUGAUGCCGUAAUCGGACAAAGUCAACCAAAGAUGGAACACAAAGAACAACUACCACUGGUUGAAGCAUUCAUUUUGGAAGUACAACGCCAUGCAAAUAUUUUUCCCCUUACACCGCAUGCUCCAAAGGAAGACUUCACUUAUAAAGGAUACUACCUUCCAAAGGGUACUUUCGUAUUCUUUGCAUUGGAUUCUGUUUUGACUGAUCCAGAUAUCUUUCCAGAGCCUUCCAAAUUUAAACCAGAGCGAUUUUUGGACGAUAGUGGAAAAUGUACUGGGGAACAGAAAGAGAAGCUUAUUCCUUUCUCAACAGGACGAAGAGUGUGUUUAGGAGAAUCGCUCGCCAAAAUGGAACUCUUUCUAUUCCUGACCAGAUUUUUACAAAAGUUUGAAGUGCAACCAGAGAAUCCCGAAUGCUUGCCCCCAUUGGAGGGCGAUUUGGGGAUAACUAACAUCCUCAAAUCUUUUAACAUGGUAUUGAUUAAACGUUAAACUUACGAGGAAAAACGCAACAUAUAUACUAUAAGUAUCCACAACAGUAUUCUAAUGUGUGAUAUAAAUUCGGAUGUAUUCUACUAGAAAACUGUAAUGGGGACUUGUCGUAAGGAAUUUUUGUUAAUACAUGUAUAUAUGUCUUAUUUUUGUUGCAUAAACAAUGGUUGGUUUACAAAUAUAUUUGGUUAGCGAAUAUUACACACUUCCACGGUUUUUAAACCACUUCAACUAUUAUGGUAAUAAAUACUAAAAUUUUGUAACUUUGUAACUCGAAAAGAGUAAUGUUCAAUUGAUUAUUCUGAUUGCAUAUUAUCCGCUGUUUACUUGUGUAAAAAAGUUAGCUUGUAGAAUCAGAUUUGUCACUUUAUAUUUUUAUUGUUUUUGAAAUUGUUAUUUUGAAACCUACUUGUACUAGUCUUUUCUAUUUAAAGAAGCAAUAUAAUUUUUGUGACCCAGGCAUCGCAUUAGAAAAGUGAAAUAAUAUUUCCCUUUAGACUUUUGAUUUUUGUACACUCUUCGUUAUCACCACAAGUCAUUUAAAACCUUGAUGUACAUGAAUAUUUCGAUUGUUAUUUAUACGUAUCAAAACAAGAAUGAUAUCUACAUGAUACAGUGAAACACGUCAACGUACGACAAAACACAUUUAUGUAACUCUCAAAUACUGCUAUAAAGCGCAUUGUGUAGCUAAUUUGAUGUCAACUUUAAUUUAAGUAGGUAUAAUAAACCAUAAUCUGGUCAU
rnacentral:misc_RNA from 1 species